UUUUAUGUUUGGGGAUUUUCUUAUUUUAGAAACAUAAGAAACGUACACAACAUGAUACUCCCUCUGAUCGGCAACAUGAAAUUUCAUUAGACCAAAGAAUAAUUCUCGUAGAAAACAAUAUACGAGUUUUGUGCACCGCUUCGAUCUCGUGUUCCAUUUUAUCGCGUUGUUGAAUUCGGCAUUUCUUCGAUGGAAAGUAAGGUGGAAGAAGAUCAUUUCUUUGCAUAUAAGGUUGAAGUUAUAAUUGAGGCGAGUUCGUUAUUGAGUGCGUACUGACGACAAGAGGUUUUGAAAUACAGGUUGGUGAUCCAUCUAUUAGGAUGUCAGCUCAGCGGAUGAGGUUAAUGCACUCCAUUUGUUCCGAAGAUACCAGGAGUCAGCAUGGGUAUGAAGGGGCCUUGUCACGACUAUUUUGUGUUAUGUUUUCUAGUAGAGGCUUAUAGACAGUUAUGUCUUGUUAGAUGAUGUCAAGACUUAUGGUUUUACAUGUUGUCACAGGUGGUUAUGAUAGCCUUAUCGACUUAUGUAGUAUGUUCAGUAUAUUCAUUCAGAUUAGUUGAUGCACGCAUGUUCCUUAUGAGUUUAUUGAGAGUCAUAUGAUGGCCCUAUCGGCUCACCUAUGUCUAUGUUGAUGUUACAGAUGUAGGUCAGGUGGUGCUUGACUAGUAUGGU